UCUGGUUGCUCCCUCUCUCUAAAUACCCGCAGAUAAACCCCUGGGUCCGAAGCCCUGCACAGCACUUCAUGACUUGGGCCAUUCAGCAGAAUGAGGAGCUUUCCACACACCCCACUGAGAUUUAACAGAACUAACAAGGACUGUAACAGGACUUCUUUUCUACUUAUGCUGCAAAUUCAAGCAGUGCCCUGGAACAUGAAAACCAUGGAAGUGUUCAACGUGUGAGAGAAAAAUAGAGAAUGAAGAGUUGGUAUCUGGAAAGGUUUGACUUGCUAUGUCUUGAUCCCGCUGACACAACCUGGUUAUCUUAUGUGGCUCUAGUGACGACCAAGGCAAACCAGGAUCAGUAGGUAUUUAUUCACCCAUGACCAUCUUGGAAUGCUGCUCAACGUGUUUCUAACUCUGAACUGGCAACAAGAAUAUGCUAUAUGUUUUUAUAAAGCUUUGUAUACCACAAAAUUUUAAGAAAACUGGGUAUUUGGGGAAGUUAACCGAAUCAGAAUUUUUCCUUGGUACAAAAGAAUAAAACAGGCCGGAACUCUGCCAUGACUAUAUC